rnacentral:piRNA from 1 species
UGAACUGUUGAUGUUUACAGAUCUUGUA